AUCUUACCAUGUGAUCUAGUGUAAUAACUGCACAUAGAACUUUGAAUUCUAUAGAGGGCGCUCC
rnacentral:tRNA from 1 species